rnacentral:rRNA from 1 species
CCUACGGGAGACAGCAGUGAGGAAUAUUGGUCAAUGGACGAGAGUCUGAACCAGCCAAGUAGCGUGAAGGAUGACUGCCCUAUGGGUUGUAAACUUCUUUUAUAUGGGAAUAAAAUGUUCCACGUGUGGGAUUUUGUAUGUACCAUAUGAAUAAGGAUCGGCUAACUCCGUGCCAGCAGCCGCGGUAAUACGGAGGAUCCGAGCGUUAUCCGGAUUUAUUGGGUUUAAAGGGUGCGUAGGUGGAUUGUUAAGUCAGUUGUGAAAGUUUGCGGCUCAACCGUAAAAUUGCAGUUGAAACUGGCAGUCUUGAGUACAGUAGAGGUGGGCGGAAUGCGUGGUGUAGCGGUGAAAUGCUUAGAUAUCACGAAGAACUCCGAUUGCGAAGGCAGUUCACUGGACUGCAACUGACACUGAGGCUCGAAAGUGUGGGUAUCAAACAGGAUUAGAUACCCUAGUAGUC